CAGUCGCCGCGGGAAUACGAAGGGGGCUAGCGUUGUUCGGAAUUACUGGGCGUAAAGCGCACGUAGGCGGAUAUUUAAGUCAGGGGUGAAAUCCCGCAGCUCAACUGCGGAACUGCCUUUGAUACUGGGUAUCUUGAGUAUGGAAGAGGUUAGUGGAAUUGCGAGUGUAGAGGUGAAAUUCGUAGAUAUUCGCAGGAACACCAGUGGCGAAGGCGGCUAACUGGUCCAUAACUGACGCUCAUGCACGAAAGCGUGGGGAGCAAACAGGAUUAGAUACCCCCGUAGUCCCUGUCUCUUAUAC
rnacentral:rRNA from 1 species